rnacentral:tRNA from 1 species
AGGGUUAUAUUUAAUUAUAAUACUUGAUUUGCAUUCAAGAGGUACAUUUGGUUAAUCUUU